CUCAGUAACACGUAGUCAACCUGCCCUGGAGACAUGGACAACCCCGGGAAACUGGGAUUAAUCCGUGAUAGGUCAUCCCAUCUGGAAAGGAGGGAUGGCUUAAAGGGGCGCGCGGGCUUCUUCUGCGCGUUCGCUCCAGGAUGGGACUGCGUCCGAUCAGGCUGUUGGCGGGGUAAUGGCCCACCAAACCUGUAACCGGUACGGGCCUUGAGAGAGGUGGCCCGGAGAUGGACACUGAGAGAAGGGUCCAGGUCCUACGGGGCGCAGCAGGCGCGAAACCUUCACAAUGCGCGAAAGCGUGACGAGGUUAAUCCGAGUGGUCCCCGCUGAGGGGACCUUUUGUCAGCUGUAAAUAGGCGGGCGAAUAAGGGGAGGGCAAGCCUGGUGUCAGCCGCCGCGGUAAUACCAGCUCCUCGAGUGGUCGGGGCGAUUAUUGGGCCUAAAGCAUCCGUAGCCGGUUCCGUAGGUCCUCUGUUAAAUCCAACCGCUCAACGGUUGACCUGCAGAGGAUACCGCGGGACUAGGAGGCGGGAGAGGCGGACGGUACUCCGCGUGUAGGGGUAAAAUCCUUUGAUCCGCGGAAGA
rnacentral:rRNA from 1 species